rnacentral:rRNA from 1 species
UACGUAGGGUGCAAGCGUUAUCCGGAAUUAUUGGGCGUAAAGAGCUCGUAGGCGGUUUGUCACGUUCUGCUGUGAAAACUGGAGGCUCAACCUCCAAGCCUGCAGUGGGUACGGGCAGACUAGAGUGCGGUAGGGGAGAUUGGAAUUCCUGGUGUAGCGGUGGAAUGCGCAGGAUAUCAGGAGAACACCGAUGGACGAAGGCAGAUCUCUGGGAGCCG